rnacentral:lncRNA from 10 species
CAAAUGUUUACUUAGCAUGCAAUUAUGAGCUUAAGGUGUCAGGAAGGCUACCACCCAGAAUAAGCUAAGACUUGAAAAGGAUACAAAACUCAAUAUUAGGAAAAUGUGAAGGGAAAUUACAAUGGGGGUUUUAAGUUUUAUUUGAGCAAGAAGAACAAGGAAGCAAUUUGCCUACUGCCUGGAGCAAGUGAGGUAAUGUUGACAGAUAUCAGACAGAAAGCAGAUCAUCCCCAGUUCAGUAUUUUCUGUAGAGAAGGCUGUUCAGAGAGAGAAAGGGGAUGGCAAAUGGCUCUCUCAGUUAGCUGGCUGAGCAUGUGAGCAGUCCGUACGACCAAGAUCAUUGUUGUCUCCAGCAGUGGAGAGCACCAGUUGCAGGAAUUUCAUCAGGGGCAUACAAGUCGUGGAUUUGACUGGGACAAUUUCUUGUACAUUUCCAUUGUUUUUAACAAAGCAGUGAUAAAUUCUAACAGAUAAUGCAACUCAGUCUACUUGGAUGUUCACACCUGAGACUGGAGAAGACCUGCUGCCUUCUGCAGAGCCAAACAUUCCUCACAUGCUCCUCCACAAUGCUAGUUAAUGCAGCAAGAAUAGUCUUAUAUAGACUAUAAACUCCUGGUACACUGUGUCUACAUUGCUCACUGCAGUAUCCCAACAUCUAAGACCAUGGUCUUAGAUGUCUGGUACAGGACUGGUGCUCAGUAUGCAUUGAAUGAAUAAAUGAAUGAAUAUAGCAAAGCAUUCCAUGAUGUUCUCUUGAAUUCAUUUAUUCUUUGGAAUUUGGUUAUUUUUUUUUGUUUUUUUGGUGCAGUGGUUAUGUACUACUAGGGGUAUGAUAUGGGUUCUUCAAUAAAUCUCUUCAAAUUAUAAUAAAGAUUUAGCGCUAACCUUCUGCUCACUAUCUCCCUCUAAGUACUACAGAUGGAUGUGAUUAGCAUGCAAUUUAUCAUCUUGAUGGAAUUCAUGUCUUACAGGCCUAUGGCUUUCAAAAUUGAAGUAUCUAGAUUUAUGUUAUUUUGUCAAAUAGGAAAUGGUUUUACUCUAUUGAGAUUCCUACACUUAAAAAUUUAUAUAGACCUUAAAAAAAUCCUAAAGAAGAGUUUGAAAAGUAUGGUUAGGCAUUCUUCUAGCCAUAUAGACUAUAGAGGAGAAUAAGUUUAAGGAAAUCAUCAAGUAAAGUCAAGAACAUAGUAAAAAUGGUAACAUACCACCUUCAUGUAAGAUAAAACCAGAUAAGAUUUUAAAAAGAAGCAUUUAUGCUAUGCUUAGGAAGCCAAUCCUGUUGAAAAAACUGAUAUUGCAGCCAUAUCUGUCUGUGAGUAGUUGUAACAAUGCUGUAGGUAACAUUUCUGAGAGCAUGAUACAGUGUAGGGGGAAUCGAUCUGUGGUCUUGGGGUCCUUGGGGAAAAGGGUAUAUGAAGAGUUCUUCCAAAGUGGCCUCUAAAUCCACCUGUGUAGUAAACAGUGUCUG